rnacentral:lncRNA from 1 species
GACUUUUCUCUAAAACUAACUCUUUAUUAACUUUUCAAGGCAAUCCUAAGUACAGAAAGAUACUAUAAGUCAGCUGGGAGACAAAUACAAGCAAUGAAGCAAAAGACACGAGAGUACUCUCACCUUACCUUAGUCUCUAGCAUACUCUUUUAAAACUCUAAAACCAAAAAAGGGCAUCUGAAAGCUAAGAAGAUACUCAAACUGUAUAAUUUUUCUUCGUUGAGAAAAAACAAAUUAUCAUCAAAAUCGACCACAAUAGUUUAAUAGCCCCCUCAGUCAAACUCGUCGGUCUUCUUAUAAGUUCCAGUCUUCUAUAGACAGUAGACAUACUAAUCUUCCACAUGGGUGACCGUCACCAGAAAAAACAAACACGGGCUUCACUCGAAGUUCCACUGUAUGUCAAUACUCGUUACACUGCCACUGGGUUAGAAACAAAAGAACUCAAUAAUUUCAUAAGUAGAAACAAAGAGAACAGAGAAAAAUCGGAGAACCCAAAGAGACCAAAAGAAGACAGAGAGGAAUUGCAAAAGGCAAACACCACUUUUCUUUACCUAAAAGGAAUCUAAAGUGGCCCAAUUUACGUUCAGCUAGGAAAUAAUGUAAACUAAACAGAGGGGUAAAACAGACCUUUUGAGCCGCACCAGUACGACAAAGUCCUGCUUACUCCCGCUUCUAAAUAGUAGGAACUAGUAUUUAAGUACAAUCCAUCAUGAGAAGAGAAAGAAAAUGAAACAGUGCAAAAUUUUGAGUUAAAU